AUACGGAGGAUGCAAGCGUUAUCCGGAUUUAUUGGGUUUAAAGGGAGCGUAGGCGGGAGCUUAAGUCAGCGGUUAAAUGGUGCGGCUCAACCGUGCCCUGCCGUUGAAACUGGGUUUCUUGAGAGUGCAAGAGGCGGAUGGAAUUAAUGGGGUAGCGGGGAAAUGCUUAGAUAUCAUGAAGAACUCCGAUUGCGAAGGCAGUCCGCUGGGGCACGUCUGACGCUGAUGCUCGAAGGUGCGGGAAUCAAACAGGAUUAGAUACCCUGGUAGUCCGCACGGUAAACGAUGAUUACCCGCUGUCGGCGGUAGACAGUCGGCGGCCAAGCGAAAGCGAUAAGUAAUCCACCUGGGGAGUACGCCGGCAACGGUGAAACUCAAAUGAAUUGACGGGG
rnacentral:rRNA from 1 species